rnacentral:siRNA from 1 species
UAAAAUCGGAUGUUUUCAGCU